GUGCAAAUAGAUGGUUUAUCCGGCCCACAGCAACGAGGAAAUACGAGGAUCGUUUUAUUUAAUCGUAUGAAUAAGUGUCUCUCUCUUCUUACAGAUAAGUAUUUGAAGAAAAGUCAGUGCCGAGAUCUGGAAGUAUCUGCAGUUCGAGUUUUGUUAUGUGACCUACGAUGCAUUACAUUGUGAUUUAACUUUAUUUGGGGGGCACUCUCUUUGCUGGGGGAUAUCUAUCUUUAAGCCUUACCAAAAGCUUUCUGACAGUUAACGGUCUUCAAACAAACAAGGCACUUUUUUAAACAUCUAAUUAGUAUCAUUGAGUCUCGUUUUGUUAAGGUUGUCCUUGAACUUUAUCUUCUGGUGUCAUAUCUGUUUGAAUUAAAAUAUUUAUGCUACGGUAAAA